GGGAUUUCUGAAGCCUGUGAAUGUCUAUGGGCUUACUUGACUGAUCUGCGUUCCUGCAGUGGGACUUCUGAUGCCCACUGUAAUCCAAUUUAUGAUCCUUCAAAAUAUGAUGGGCCUGCCCUGUUGAACCAAACGCUGCAGAAACCGAGGUCCAAUGUAGAGCCAUGGCUCUUAAGUAUUCAAAAAUAAAGAAGGAGAAAGAAGAAGCAGAAAGGAAGGUAGAUGCGUUGUCUUCUACAGUGGAGUCACUGAGAGAAGAGCUGCUUAACGAAAGAAACAUAAGUCGUGUAGCUAAGGAAUCAGCUGAGAGAGCUAUCGAAGAGCGCACAGUCGUAUCAAGGGUCGUGCAAUCAGUCGGCUGCAUCAUGAAAAGCUUGCGGUGCCAUUGGUUGAAGUUGCAGAACCUCUGUCAAAACUUGGUCUCGAGUUCACAAUCUUUGGCCUAUACGAUCUUCUUCUCAGAGUGUUACCAGAAAUCCAGACAAACAAAACAUCUUCAAAUAUAAAAGAUAAGUUAUUCUCAGAAAGUGUCUUUUUUAGAUUAUAUGAGACAAUUUUUAUUAUUUCACUGUAGUGAGUUGACUUAAUAGAUACAAUUCAUAUUCAGGUCUUGCACUGAAAGGUUUAGAGACAGAAGCUUUGAAGUACAUGGGACAGGAGGUAGAUGGUCAAUAGCUCUUCGUGAAGGUGCCAGCUUCGAACUGCUAUGAACCUAAGUCGAGCAGUUAAGGUUUAGAGACAGAAGCUUUAUCCAUUUUCAGGACAUGGGACAGAGACAUGACUGCUUAGCAAUAGGAACCAAAGUAUGGUUGAUAGUGCGAAAUGCUCCUCCAGCAGGUCUAACAUGGAAGUUUCGGACAUUGCGCCAUGCUCCAACAGGAAGAAGCCUUCCUUUACUCUCAAAGUAAGUUUUUUUGCAGCUUCCAUGGAUUUUAUCCCCCUUGUACAUGUUACAAAAAAAUUAGAAAUAUAACAUCAUUACACGCUU